GCUGGAAUAAGAGAGUCCAUUCCUUGUGUCCAUUCGUUUUCCUGCUUGGCGCUUACUUCAUGCACUUCGUGCUCCGUAGGGCAAAUUCUAGAAAUGGAGUACUUGAUGUUGAAGACCUUAGGGUAUGACUUGUCAAUUUCGACUCCGUCCAUAUUUAUGUGGAAAUUCCUUGAUGAAACUCUCUCUGAUGAAAAGAUCAAGAACUUGUCCAGUUUCUUCAUUGAUCUCUGCCUAGUUCAGUAUGAAACAUGCACAUUUCGACCUUCAAUAUUAACUGCCGCUGCAAUUUACACCGCCCAUGCCACUGUUAGAAGGUGUAAGCCAUGCAGCCAAAUCUACGAGCAGUUAACCGAUUGUAGCGUCGGGCAAAUCUUGUAAGUAGCAAGAUACUUCAAUUUAUUAUUUAUUACAUCUUUAUGUCUUUGUUUAUCUUCUUUAGGGACUUGGGAAUCUGAUGGAUUAUUUCUU